rnacentral:rRNA from 1 species
AUGACAUUCAGAAUCAUACACCGUGACGGCGAAAUCCUCAACCCCAUCUUUAUCCAGUUCGUGGUCGCACUCACUACCACGCUCAUGGUGAUCCGAUUUGUGCUGGAUGCUUUGCGGCAUCGGUUGAUAGGCAGCGCCAUGAAAAAGACUCUGAUCUUUAUGGACGGAGCAACCAAAGCAAUGGUCUUAUACAGUCUUGGGGUCAUGCAACGCCCCUCCAAUAAGGACUACUACUACAAGGUGUGGGCUGUGCUGUUGGUCACCCUCCGUUACAGCGUCAAGAUAGGCCGCCCGGCCGGCAUCGCCGUGAAGCAAACCCCGUUGGUAGACUUGAUGUCCUCCUUCUGGGCUGCCAACAUCCUUCGCUCUAAGGCGCCAAAGAUUCUUAAGAUAACUGGUUGGCUGCUUUGGUCAGUCAACUCUUUACGCAUCAUCCAUGGUUUUGUCUCCUGGGAGUUCGCCAACGAUAGCCACAGAGAGAAUUUGAGGUUAUUAACAGAGUACAUGCGCCAUGAGCAUGAAGCGGGUGAUGCUGAUCCCAAGAAAAUGAAGGGGUACCGAUAUUUGGUGCAGGGCGAAGCCAAGAAACAGAACAUGAAGAAAGAGAACGGCGGACAAGCAAGAGAUGGUGAUAUGGUGGAGGAAACUGAGAAUAUGUGGAGCCUCUUGCAAGCAUUGAGAGAUAAGGACAAGGAGGUCCUGACGCUUGAGAAGAUCUGGGAGGAGCCAGACGACGACCUUGAUGAUGAGCUCAAAGACCUCUGCCUCUCCUUUGCACUCUACAAGCUCCUUCGCAGGCGCUUCUUCAACUUUGGCAUUCAUGAGGCCAAGCUGAAUAAGACGAGACUGCUGGUUCUUGAUGGGAUCCUCGGGGACCGUGAUAAGCGCAGCAACUCUGAAAGGUCGACCCGCAAAAAAAGAAAAAACUCUGAAAGGGCGUUCCGUGUCAGCGAAGCCGAGGUGUCUUUCCUCAAUGACUUCUUCAACAGUAGGCAUGCCAUAGUAUUUGCAAAAGGAUUUCCAUUCAUACGGCUCCUGCUAUCCACCAUUCUGAUAGUGGGAAUCGGAGGCAUGGCGUUUGCUAUCUAUAGCUUUUCCAAGGUUGGUACUGAAGAUGAGCUCGGCAAUGUUCAUGAUGGAGUAGUUUUUACAUGGUUUCUGCUGUCGUUUCUUUUUGUAAAAGAGACAUGGGAGAUCAUGACUUACGUGUUCUCAGACUGGACCAAGAUAAUUUUGUUGUGCCAGUACGUACAGAAGCCAUGGUGGCUGCGAAACUCGGUGACCAAGGCUCUUGUGCGGAACCUCUGUAAGCUCUCUGUGCCCUGGUUGCCAAGAUGGCAUGGAAAGGUUGGCCAAUGCAACAUUCUCUUCCCAAUUCGUUUUGCCUUCCCACUGCGGUUUUUCUUUGGAGCAAGAUAUUCUAGGUACUUUGUAUAUCUGUCAACGGAUGUGAAGGGUACUGUGAUGAACUGUCUCAGAGACUGCUUGGCCAAAUGUCCCGUGCGGUUGGACAACUACCUUGAGCGGGCAUUCGUUCAUGUCAAGGCUGUUGGUUUUCCUGCAAGUGUCAGGGGAGCGGUUACUGGAGUGGAGGACUGUGUGCACAUUCUGCUGGUUUGGCAUAUUGCUACGUGCUACUGCGAGAUUCAUCUCGCUAAAAGAGGAAAGGUGAAAGCCACUCCAAAUCUUGGGGGGUCUCCAUACAUGGUCGCUAGGACAUUAUCGCAGUACUGUGCGUAUGUACUUACACUGGUUCCUCCUCUAGUGCCUGGGAACAGUCUAAUGGGUAGAUCGGUGCUGAUAAAGAUGUAUGAAGAAAAAUGUCGUCUUCUCCUCGGACCCUACAACUCCAGCACCCAUUGUACAUUGCGGGACCAUAUCCUUGUAAGGCUCGAAGAAUAUGCAUCAGGGGACAUACAUUUGUAUGACGAGGAAAAAGACAACACCAUAUUGAAGAAGGGGGCAGCUCUUGGCAAGAAGCUGAUACAAGCGAUCCGCGGUGAUGAUGAUACGCUGGAAGAUCAUCAUAUUGAAGAUCUGUGGAGGUUCUUGUCGGAGUUCUGGGCCGGAUUCGUUAUCCACUUGGCUGCAUCUACAAGGGCUUCUCACCACAAGAUAUAUCUGAGCUCUGGCGGGGAGUUCAUGACACAUCUCUGGGCGUUGCUAACCCAUGCCGGCAUCCUAGGGGAGGUCCAGCACGGCGACCAAAAUAUUGAUAACGCACUAACGCAAGGAGAUGAUUAUGAUCGGACUGUGCAGUAUUAG